GGCGGAAUGCUUUACACAUGCAAGUCGAACGGCAGCACGGACUUCGGUCUGGUGGCGAGUGGCGAACGGGUGAGUAACAUAUCGGAACGUAUCCAAUAAUGGGGGAUAACUAAGCGAAAGCUUGGCUAAUACCGCAUACGCCCUGAGGGGGAAAGCUAGGGAUCUUCGGACCUGGCGUUGAUGGAGCGGCCGAUAUCUGAUUAGCUAGUUGGUGGGGUAAAGGCCCACCAAGGCGACGAUCAGUAGCUGGUCUGAGAGGACGACCAGCCACACUGGAACUGAGACACGGUCCAGACUCCUACGGGAGGCAGCAGUGGGGAAUUUUGGACAAUGGGCGCAAGCCUGAUCCAGCCAUUCCGCGUGAGUGAAGAAGGCCUUCGGGUUGUAAAGCUCUUUCGCAAGGGAAGAAAGAUUACGCUCUAACAUAGCGUGAUUAUGACGGUACCUUGAUAAGAAGCACCGGCUAACUACGUGCCAGCAGCCGCGGUAAUACGUAGGGUGCGAGCGUUAAUCGGAAUUACUGGGCGUAAAGCGUGCGCAGGCGGUUUUGUAAGUCAGAUGUGAAAUCCCCGAGCUCAACUUGGGAACUGCGUUUGAAACUACAAGACUAGAAUAGGUCAGAGGGGGGUAGAAUUCCACGUGUAGCAGUGAAAUGCGUAGAGAUGUGGAGGAAUAUCAAUGGCGAAGGCAGCCCCCUGGGAUCAUAUUGACGCUCAUGCACGAAAGCGUGGGGAGCAAACAGGAUUAGAUACCCUGGUAGUCCACGCCCUAAACGAUGUCAACUAGUUGUUGGUAGAGUAAAAUCUAUGAGUAACGCAGCUAACGCGUGAAGUUGACCGCCUGGGGAGUACGAUCGCAAGAUUA
rnacentral:rRNA from 1 species